CUCGGCAUGUCGCGGAGCGUCUACUUCACCUGCAGAGCUUUGUCAAUGCUGGCUGACGGAAAUAAAGUUUUGUUUGUUUUUAAACAACACCACCUGUAGAGCGCGUUGAACAGAGCGAGGUGGCGGCAAAGCGAAAGUAAAUUUAGAGUAAAUUCAAUGAAACAUGACCGACACGGAGAAAACAGUUUGACCGAAGUCCUCAAAAGUGUGGCAGCAUUUCACGCUUCACAAAACAAAAAACAUGCGUAACAUGCAAGCUUUACAAAAGUGAUAUGAUGUACGGGAGCACCAUGAUGAUGAUGCAGCACCUGAAACGGAAACACGGAGUCGCCGAUGAGGAUGAAGGAGCCCAACAGCAGAUCUGAAGCCUUGCAGAGAUGGACACCAAAUGGGCAGCAUGGAAUCCAGCAUAUACCCUCCAGUGACAAGCUUUCCUCACCUAACUGCCUCCACCAUCUCCAGCCAUCAGCUCAAAGCAUCCCAGCCAGGUCUGAGUCUACAAAGUUGAGGCCGGACAAGCCCGACUGUGAUACCGGGAGCCAUCUACAGGAAGCAGAGAUAAGCUGAGAGGUGGCAGGGCGACAGCUCUCAGUGGAGUCACCGUUCAGCAAACCAAUCAGCGUGUUGAGCAUACAAUUGAGCUUCUUGGACUUCAUCUAAAAUGAAAUAGGCUGCAGUGAUGCUUGUGCAAUGGGAUGGAGCUUCUGGACAUGUCCGGAUUUAUCGAUUGGAUAUCCUAUCGCGAUUACAACACUUUGGUGCACACCUCAGAGCUGGAGAGCAUUUUCAAGAUUGGUUUGUGGGCAAAAGCGAGUAAUUGAAAAUCCCCUCUUGAGAGGCUCUCUGUUCUGAUUUGUUGUGGGGGAGGAGGGUUUAUUUUUUUUACAAGGAACAAUUUCAAAAACCUUCUUUCUUUAUCCCACAAUUUCCCCUUCUUUCUUUUUUACUGUCUUUCUCCCACAUUGCGGAGAAAUACAUUAUGAAGCAGCACCAUUCUUCUUCAUCCUCCCUCAGUGACGGAGAGAGAGGAGGGACAGACUGUCCAGAAUAGAUAACGAGCAAGGAGACCGGCACUUAGGAGAGAAGAAGGGGGAAAAAAAGCAAAAAACAGAGAAACAGGUAGAGAAAGAAAAACAGAGAAGGAGACGGAGAAAGACACAGACAAGCCAAGAAAAUAGAAGUCAGAGAAUUAACUAGGAUUGCUCAGAAUCCUUUUGGAUACUUAGUCUCUUUGUAACUCGACUGUGCUGUGUUGGAGGCUAGUUAGUGCAAUGGGCAGGAGAGGGUUCAGGAUUUACACCAGGAGGGCGACUUAAGCAGAAGACAAGUGUUUUGUCCUGUCUGAACCUUCGUGGCCUGUAUCUUAGUGGUUGGGAGGAUGGCAGUCUGAAAGAUGGCUUGGUAAACAGACAACUGUGCUGAAUGACAGACAAACUCUGAGACUAGUGAGACAGACAGACAAGAAUAGAGACAGACAGGAAGACAGAUACACAGACUGAGCGUCAGGCAGAGAGCCAGGCAGACAGCCAGUGCCGGCACAGUAGACAGCAUGCAAUUCAUUGUCAUUCUAUGCAACGUGUGAAGAGACGACAGAGAGAAGGAAAGAAAGCAGAGACAGAAAGAAAGAAGAGGAGUGUCUGUAGUUGUAGUUUUUGGAGAAUCUCACUUCAUCUGCAUCCAUCUCAGUCAGUACUGUGGCAAGCCCAUGCACUAAAAAAAAGCUGGGAGGGAGGGAUCUAUUACUAGAAAGGAAAUACAGGUUGGAGAGAGGGAAGGAGAGAGGUAGAGAAGCAGGGAAAGAAACAGAGGGAGAGAGCAGGUGUUGGAAAUCCUCCCCUUCAUCUGCUUGUCAUUUAUUCCUUUAUGCCCUCUCGUCUCGUCUGACACAAUGAUUGGUGUUCUGAUGCCAGUGUUCCUCUGCUUAUAGGCCCUCUGCAAUCUCUAGAAAAUCAAGAGGAAAGGACAGCAAGAAGGGAAAGGUGGAGCCCUUUUUGAAUUGACAUAUUUUUGCC
ensembl:lncRNA